GAAAACGGUGGCUUUAUGUCGAUAGUUAGGGAGACAAACCAAGUGGAUUGAGGGAGGAGUGAACAGUGUCAUUCUUCUCUAUUGGUGCUAUAGAAUGAAAAGCCAGAGAGGACUAGACAGAGAAUAGUUGGAGGAAGUCUGAGCUGAAUGAAUUCAUCGUUCCAGGUACGUGAUGAGUAUGUUAGGUUCUAGAGUGAUCAACUGUUGUUGUUGCUGAAUGAAGUCCAAAUUUUCAUUGACUACUUCAUAAACUUUAAUGAUAUAUUUGUGAGCGCAAGAUCUUUUGAUAAUGAUAUUACUGCUAGCACUUUUUUUUUUUUCCUUCUUAGAAUGAUAUUACUGCUAGCUCUCUGUGCAAAAGUUAAUUGGUUAUACAUAUUCGUUAGGAAACUUUCUAAAAACUUUGGGCUUUGUUGCUUGGUCUCAAAUAAUUUUGGGGUAAAUGGGUUAGGAUGAUAGUUUUAUUGCAUCCUUCCUUUAACUUAAGUCAAACUUCCUUAUGCUUCUUAUGUCAGAGCAUUUUAAGUUCCGCCUAUCAUAUGGUCGUAUAGUCAUAUAGUUAUGGAGGAACUAUGGGAGAACGACAAAUGCUAUAUAUCCUCAGGCCCAAAAUUCAGACAGAGAGAGAGAGUAAAUUCCUUGAAAUACUUAUUUGAAGAAUCAUAAAAUAACUUUUCCUUUAGAAAUUAUGUAGUUUGAAAUUUUGAUUUCGGUUUAAGUUACACGUAAUAACAAUGAAUUGUUUAUUCCUGAUGAAAGAUGUUUGAUUUUUAAAAGUUGUAUUAUCUAUCUAUCAAACUUCUUUACACGAGUGCAACUGUAGUUCACUGUUUGUAAAGCAAAUAUACAGUACUGCUGUUACAUCUCUCAAAACUUACUUGAGUUAAAUUUUGAAACAUUGCAGACGAUAUACAUGGAUGAUUACAUUUCCACUUAUAAAGAAAAAUCACAGUUUGAUUUGUAUGCUCAUUAAGGAACGAGUGGUUAUGAAUUCAUCAAAUAGCCAAUGUUGUAGAGUGAAUUGUGAAUGUAAAGUGAAUUUUGGACGAGGUAAGGAGUCUUCGAUAUUACAGACCAAAAUUUAGCUAUAUCUCCUGUAUGGAUGAUAAUAAAACAAGUCUGACGCUUAUCUUAUUAUUCUGCAACUUGUUGGCAUGUGGGUGUCUGUACUUGCAAAUGUUAAGUAUAGAGUGCAGUAGUUGAUUUCAGACAAUGACUAAUUCAAUCAUCA